rnacentral:lncRNA from 1 species
CUUUCUUCUAUAUCAUCUAGAUCAUCUAGGGCACGAACGGUAUAUUCUUAGUUGUUUUCCCCAGUCUUAGCCUAAGUAUUGUUAGUGGAGUUACCUGGCCAUUCUUCCGGCCUGUAUGGUAUCAACUAAAUAGAAUGAGUUUCCUCCGAAAACUGAGGAAUUGAUUAGACAAAUUGAAGUCUAAAUCUUAGUAGCACAAAUUACACUCUCAAGAUUAGUAACCCAGUUCAGGAUUUUAAUCUCUACAUACGUAAUUUAAACAACUGUGAAUAAGUCCUAUCC